rnacentral:rRNA from 1 species
AUGAACGCUGGCGGCGUGCCUAAUACAUGCAAGUCGAGCGAACAGACGAGGAGCUUGCUCCUCUGACGUUAGCGGCGGACGGGUGAGUAACACGUGGAUAACCUACCUAUAAGACUGGGAUAACUUCGGGAAACCGGAGCUAAUACCGGAUAAUAUAUUGAACCGCAUGGUUCAAUAGUGAAAGACGGUUUUGCUGUCACUUAUAGAUGGAUCCGCGCCGCAUUAGCUAGUUGGUAAGGUAACGGCUUACCAAGGCAACGAUGCGUAGCCGACCUGAGAGGGUGGUUGGCCACCCGGGAACGGAGACACGGUCCAGACGCCUACGGGAGGCAGCAGUAGGGAAUCUUCCGCAAUGGGGGAAAGCCUGACGGAGCAACGCCGCGUGAGAGAUGAAGGUCUUCGGAUCGUAAAACUCUGUUAUUAGGGAAGAACAAAUGUGUAAGUAACUAUGCACGUCUUGACGGUACCUAAUCAGAAAGCCACGGCUAACUACGUG